rnacentral:lncRNA from 1 species
AGCAAGGCAAAGGCUGAGAUGCGUCCAGCUGUGACACGGUAUGCGCCAGUCACAGCCCAGGCUGGGCGUCAGAGAAUGGGUGUAUAUUGGAGAUCAAGUCUACUAGAUCAUGUUUGUAUCCAUGAAAAAUUAAGAGAAAAGGAGCCACAUUUUGAGUUUGUAAGUAUGAAAUUAUGAAAUACCCAGAUUUGGGAAAAUGACAAUGGGGCAGGGUA